GAUGAACGCUGGCGGCGUGCCUAAUACAUGCAAGUCGAGCGAACGGACGAGAAGCUUGCUUCUCUGAUGUUAGCGGCGGACGGGUGAGUAACACGUGGAUAACCUACCUAUAAGACUGGGAUAACUUCGGGAAACCGGAGCUAAUACCGGAUGAUAUUUUGAACCGCAUGGUUCAAAAGUGAAAGACGGUCUUGCUGUCACUUAUAGAUGGAUCCGCGCUGCAUUAGCUAGUUGGUAAGGUAACGGCUUACCAAGGCAACGAUGCAUAGCCGACCUGAGAGGGUGAUCGGCCACACUGGAACUGAGACACGGUCCAGACUCCUACGGGAGGCAGCAGUGGGGAAUCUUCCGCAAUGGGCGAAAGCCUGACGGAGCAACCCCGCGUGAGUGAUGAAGGUCUUCGGAUCGUAAAACUCUGUUAUUAGGGAAGAACAUAUGUGUAAGUAACUGUGCACAUCUUGACGGUACCUAAUCAGAAAGCCACGGCUAACUACGUG
rnacentral:rRNA from 1 species